ensembl:processed_transcript AI606473 expressed sequence AI606473
AGAGAGAGAGAGAGACUGGUGUGGAAUGCUGGCUCCAGCAGGUCGGGCGUAGGACCGACUCCCUGGAUGAGGAACUAAAACUAGAGUCUAGCUUGGAGAAUUACUUACAUUUCUUUUGUGCUAAGUAUUGCAACGUAACUCUGAAGUUCCCUUUGCCUGCUAGCGAGCAUGGUCUGUGCCGGUCAUCUGGAGAGCCCAGCGCACUAGAGCUGUUUGGGGGACAUAGGGAGGGGGCGCCGUCGUGUACGCCGCCUUUCCACCCACCCUCGCCUAAUCAGGCUGCUCUCAAUCAGGUUUUCAACAUACUAAUCUUGAUCUGAGAGCUCCUAUCUCUGCAUAAGUGGAGGAAAUGAUUCUUUUUUAGAGGCUUCCGGGCUUAGAGAAGGAGGACGUCAGACUGGAGUCUAAAGGGCUGCUCCCGGCGCCCGGCGGGACUGCGAACUCACCAGCAGCAUAAUUGCCUGUGUCCAGCGCGCUCCAGGGGCUACCCCGUGGUAAGUGCGUUCCCUGUCCUGGCUACUGGGGCUUUGGCUUGGGGUUUGGGCUGGAGAUGGGCGGAGCAGAAAGUGAAAGUUUUUACUAGGAAAGUCAAGGCUGAGUUGUGGGGUCUUGGGCCUAAUGACCUUCUGACCCUGCGUAUACCACUUGCUUAAAAAAUGUUUAGCUUCUCCAUGCCUGCAGGCAAACUAGAACUCGCUGCUCCUCGGAUCAGACAGAGAAAAAGUUCGCCUUCUGCUCUUUCCAAAUUUAAGUGUUUGAGGUAAAAUUUACAAAGCACUUUUC